UGUGAGGGACAUUGCUGAUGUCCAUCCCGUUGACCUGGGGGCAGGUGGAACAAUCGUGCGGUCAGCUCCACCUGCCACAACCCUUCCUGAAAGAUCCAGGCCCACAGAAAAGCCAGGAUCCUGUCUUUAAAGACUGCUCUGCUCUCCCGCCUCAUCCUGUGUCCAAUAACCACACCUUCCAACAGCGUUUCUAACCCUGUUCUCGCCAAGCAUGGCCUGCAGCACCUCUCCAGGCCUCUGUGCUGACAGCUGCCUCACCUUAAGAGUCUCCUUUCGUUAUGGCAUCUGGAAAGAUCUCACAUGGCAGGCCUGCUUCUAGUUCCUUCUUCCUAGUGUGUCUGAGGAAAUCCAAUCUCUCCCACUCCAGCCCGCCUACUCAUUGAACAUGACUGCUAUCUCUGUCUUCUGGAAACAUGGCUCCAAUCCUGCAGCAACGCUACACAAGAGCUCCCAGAAUCCAUCUCAGCCCCCCAACCUGGCCCUACUGAAUUAUAAAGGUGUGAAACAACCUAACACAUCCAAGCAAAUCUAUCUCCAUGACAACACAGCAGCGAUGCAGUCCUGGAAUCAGGAUGCCUGUGUUCCAGGCUGGCUGGAUUACCUAGGGAAGUUUCCUCAGCCUCAAUAAAUCAGAGUUUUCUCAUCAGUGAGAUGGGGAGCCACUGCAUUUGCUGCAAGUUUCCUAGG